rnacentral:rRNA from 1 species
GACGAACGCUGGCGGCGUGCUUAACACAUGCAAGUCGAACGGAAAGGCCCUGCUUGCAGGGUACUCGAGUGGCGAACGGGUGAGUAACACGUGGGUGAUCUGCCCUCCACUUCGGGAUAAGCCUGGGAAACUGGGUCUAAUACCGGAUAGGAGCCAUUUUGAGUGUGAUGGUUGAAAAGUUUUUUCGGUGUAGGAUGAGCUCGCGGCCUAUCAGCUUGUUGGUGGGGUAAUGGCCUACCAAGGCGGCGACGGGUAGCCGGCCUGAGUGGGUGGACGGCGACAUUGGGACUGAGAUACGGCCCAGACUCGUACGGGAGGCAGCAGUGGGGAAUAUUGCACAAUGGGCGCAAGCCUGAUGCAGAGACGCCGCGUGGGGGAUGACGGCCUUCGGGUUGUAAACUCCUUUCGCUAGGGACGAAGCUUUUUGUGACGGUACCUAGAUAAGAAGCACCGGCUAACUACGUG